rnacentral:tRNA from 1 species
GGUCGCUUAGCUCAGCUGGGAGAGCACCUGCCUUACAAGCAGGGGGUCAGAGGUUCGAACCCUCUAGCGACCA